rnacentral:rRNA from 1 species
UUUGAACGCUGGCGGCAGGCUUAACACAUGCAAGUCGAGCGGAGAUGAGGUGCUUGCACCUUAUCUUAGCGGCGGACGGGUGAGUAAUGCUUAGGAAUCUGCCUAUUAGUGGGGGACAACAUUCCGAAAGGAAUGCUAAUACCGCAUACGUCCUACGGGAGAAAGCAGGGGAUCUUCGGACCUUGCGCUGAUAGAUGAGCCUAAGUCGGAUUAGCUAGUUGGUGGGGUAAAGGCCUACCAAGGCGACGAUCUGUAGCGGGUCUGAGAGGAUGUUCCGCCAGACUUGUACUGAAACACGGCCCAGACUCCUACGGGAGGCAGCAGUGGGGAAUAUUGGACAAUGGGGGAAACCCUGAUCCAGCCAUGCCGCGUGUGUGAAGAAGGCCUUAUGGUUGUAAAGCACUUUAAGCGAGGAGGAGGCUACUGAGACUAAUACUCUUGGAUAGUGGACGUUACUCGCAGAAUAAGCACCGGCUAACUCUGUGCCAGCAGCCGCUGUAA